rnacentral:rRNA from 2 species
UAGACCGCCUGGGGAGUACGGCCGCAAGGUUAAAACUCAAAUGAAUUGACGGGGGCCCGCACAAGCGGUGGAGCAUGUGGUUUAAUUCGAUGCAACGCGAAGAACCUUACCUGGUCUUGACAUCCACAGAACUUUCCAGAGAUGGAUUGGUGCCUUCGGGAACUGUGAGACAGGUGCUGCAUGGCUGUCGUCAGCUCGUGUUGUGAAAUGUUGGGUUAAGUCCCGCAACGAGCGCAACCCUUAUCCUUUGUUGCCAGCGGUCCGGCCGGGAACUCAAAGGAGACUGCCAGUGAUAAACUGGAGGAAGGUGGGGAUGACGUCAAGUCAUCAUGGCCCUUACGACCAGGGCUACACACGUGCUACAAUGGCGCAUACAAAGAGAAGCGACCUCGCGAGAGCAAGCGGACCUCAUAAAGUGCGUCGUAGUCCGGAUUGGAGUCUGCAACUCGACUCCAUGAAGUCGGAAUCGCUAGUAAUCGUGGAUCAGAAUGCCACGGUGAAUACGUUCCCGGGCCUUGUACACACCGCCCGUCACACCAUGGGAGUGGGUUGCAAAAGAAGUAGGUAGCUUAACCUUCGGGAGGGCGCUUACCACUUUGUGAUUCAUGACUGGGGUGAAGUCGUAACAAGGUAACCGUAGGGGAACCUGCGGUUGGAUCACCUCCUUACCUUAAAGAA